rnacentral:rRNA from 1 species
UACAGAGGGGGCAAGCGUUAUUCGGAAUUAUUGGGCGUAAAGGGCGCGUAGGCGGCUUUGCAAGUGACGGGUGAAAUCCCUCGGCUUAACCGGGGAACUGCCUGUCAAACUGCAUGGCUUGAGACCGGGAGAGGUGAGUGGAAUUCCCAGUGUAGCGGUGAAAUGCGUAGAUAUCGAGAGGAACACCUGCGGCGAAGGCGGGUUGCUGGGCUGACACUGACGCUGAGGCGCGAAAGCGUGGGGAGCGAACAGG